UACGUAGGGGGCGAGCGUUGUCCGGAAUCAUUGGGCGUAAAGAGCUCGUAGGCGGUUUGGUAAGUUGGAUGUGAAAUCUCCAGGCUCAACUUGGAGGGGUCAUUCGAUACUGCCAUGACUAGAGUUCGGUAGGGGAGUGUGGAAUUCCUGGUGGAGCGGUGAAAUGCGCAGAUAUCAGGAGGAACACCGAUGGCGAAGGCAGGUCUCUGGGCAUUAACUGACGCUGAGGAGCGAAAGCAUGGGGAGCGAACAGG
rnacentral:rRNA from 1 species